rnacentral:rRNA from 1 species
UACGUAGGGUCCGAGCGUUGUCCGGAAUUACUGGGCGUAAAGAGCUCGUAGGUGGUUUGUCGCGUUGUCCGUGAAAACUCACAGCUCAACUGUGGGCGUGCGGGCGAUACGGGCAGACUGGAGUACUGCAGGGGAGACUGGAAUUCCUGGUGUAGCGGUGGAAUGCGCAGAUAUCAGGAGGAACACCGGUGGCGAAGGCGGGUCUCUGGGCAGUAACUGACGCUGAGACGCGAAGGCGUGGGGAGCGAACGGG